GACGAACGCUGGCGGCGUGCCUAAUACAUGCAAGUAGAGCGAAGCGGCGGAGGGGUGAGUAACGAGUGGGUAACCUGACAUUAAGUCUGGGAUACCAUUUGGAAACAGAUGCUAAUAACGGAUAACAAAGGAUGGACCUGCGAUGCAUUAGCGAGUUGGUAAGGUAACGGCUUCCCAAGGAGAUAAGUCAUAGCCGAGUUGAGAGACUGAUCUGCCACAUUGGGACUGAGACACGGCCCAUACUCCUACGGGAGGCAGCAGUAGGGAAUCUUCCACAAUGGACGAAAGUCGGAUGGAGCAACGCCGCGUGAGUGAAGAAGGUUUUCGGAUCGUAAAGCUCUGUUGUUGGUGAAGCGGUAAUCAACCAGAAAGUCACGGCUAACUACGUGCCAGCAGCCGCGGUAAUAC
rnacentral:rRNA from 1 species